rnacentral:tRNA from 1 species
GGCAGCAUGGCAUAGUGGUUUGAGUGUUGGACUACAACUAUGGAGACCAGGGUUUGAUUCCUAGUUCAGUCA